rnacentral:rRNA from 1 species
GAUGAACGCUGGCGGCGUGCCUAAUACAUGCAAGUCGAGCGAACGGACGAGAAGCUUGCUUCUCUGAUGUUAGCGGCGGACGGGUGAGUAACACGUGGAUAACCUACCUAUAAGACUGGGAUAACUUCGGGAAACCGGAGCUAAUACCGGAUAAUAUUUUGAACCGCAUGGUUCAAAAGUGAAAGACGGUCUUGCUGCCACUUAUAGAUGGAUCCGCGCUGCAUUAGCUAGUUGGUAAGGUAACGGCUUACCAAGGCAACGAUGCAUAGCCGACCUGAGAGGGUGAUCGGCCACACUGGAACUGAGACACGGUCCAGACUCCUACGGGAGGCAGCAGUAGGGAAUCUUCCGCAAUGGGCGAAAGCCUGACGGAGCAACGCCGCGUGAGUGAUGAAGGUCUUCGGAUCGUAAAACUCUGUUAUUAGGGAAGAACAUAUGUGUAAGUAACUGUGCACAUCUUGACGGUACCUAAUCAGAAAGCCACGGCUAACUACGU